UACGAACUGUGCGAACGUUAUUCGGAAUCACUGGGCUUACAGGGUGCGUAGGCGGCUUGUUAAGUAGGGUGUCAAAGCCCCCGGCUCAACCGGGGAAUUGCGCCCUAAACUGGCGAGCUGGAGUGAGAUAGGGGUGUGUGGAACUUCCGGUGGAGCGGUGAAAUGUGUUGAUAUCGGAAGGAACGCCGGUGGCGAAAGCGACACACUGGAUCUUGUCUGACGCUGAGGCACGAAAGCCAGGGGAGCGAACGGG
rnacentral:rRNA from 1 species